rnacentral:rRNA from 1 species
GACGAACGCUGGCGGCGCGCCUAACACAUGCAAGUCGAACGAGCGAGAGGGAGCUUGCUUUCUCGAGCGAGUGGCGAACGGGUGAGUAACGCGUGAGGAACCUGCCUCAAAGAGGGGGACAACAGUUGGAAACGACUGCUAAUACCGCAUAAGCCCACGGUGCCGCAUGGCACAGAGGGAAAAGGAGCAAUCCGCUUUGAGAUGGCCUCGCGUCCGAUUAGCUAGUUGGUGAGGUAAUGGCCCACCAAGGCGACGAUCGGUAGCGGGACUGAGAGGUUGAACGGCCACAUUGGGACUGAGACACGGCCCAGACUCCUACGGGAAGCAGCAGUGGGGAAUAUUGCACAAUGGGGGAAACCCUGAUGCAGCGACGCCGCGUGGAGGAAGAAGGUCUUCGGAUUGUAAACUCCUGUUGUUGGGGAAGAUAAUGACGGUACCCAACAAGGAAGUGACGGCUAACUACGUG